UGCUUGCUGAAUCACUGGUUACCACCUUUGUCAAAUUUCUUCAAGCACAUUUAAUUACUAUUAUUUUACAGUGAUGCAGAGAAUUUGCAGGGAAGCUUAGGACAUCUCUCAGCUAAUGGGACCCAUACAUGAAAUAUUGCCCAGAAAUGGCUCCAAAGAAUUUUCAGCAUCAAUCAACAAGAUAGAUGAAGAGAAAGAGAGAAGCAGCACAACUUGCCCACAUAUGAAGUCAAGAGAUGGAGGAGUUUGUGGUUGCAUGCUGCACUGCUUGGUGGAUACGUGCCUGGCCUGGCUAUAG
rnacentral:lncRNA from 1 species